rnacentral:rRNA from 1 species
GUAAAUAUAAAUUACGAAAGCAAAAAAUUAUGGCGGUAUCUUAAGCUUUUCAGAGGAAUUUGCUCUUUAAUGGAUAAAACACCCAAAUCUUACUUAGAUUGGUUAAAUCAGUUUGUAUACCACUAUAAAAAUUAUAAUUUACUUUUAUUAUUUCUCUUCUUUAAAGAAAUAAAUUAAGUCAAGGUGCAGCUAAAAUUUAAGGUUGAAGUGAAUUACAUUUCUUUAAAGAAAUAAAACAAUGAAAUAAAAUAUAGGAUUUGAUAGUAAAAUUAAAAUAGAAAGUUAA